rnacentral:piRNA from 1 species
UGGGAAUGAGGGUCGGUGUUGUUCAC